UACGUAGGGUGCAAGCGUUAAUCGGAAUUACUGGGCGUAAAGCGUGCGCAGGCGGUUUUGUAAGCCAGAUGUGAAAUCCCCGGGCUUAACCUGGGAAUGGCAUUUGGGACUGCAAGGCUUAAGUGCGGCAGAGGAGACUGGAAUUCCUGGUGUAGCAGUGAAAUGCGUAGAUAUCAGGAGGAACACCGAUGGCGAAGGCAGGUCUCUGGGCUGACACUGACGCUCAUGCACGAAAGCGUGGGGAGCAAACAGG
rnacentral:rRNA from 1 species